rnacentral:rRNA from 1 species
AAACGUUGGGCACUAGGUGUGGGGACCAUUCCACGGUUUCCGCGCCGCAGCUAACGCAUUAAGUGCCCCGCUGGGGAGUACGGCCGCAAGGCUAAAACUCAAAGGAAUUGACGGGGGCCCGCACAAGCGGCGGAGCAUGCGGAUUAAUUCGAUGCAACGCGAAGAACCUUACCAAGGCUUGACAUGUUCUCGAUCGCCGUAGAGAUACGGUUUCCCCUUUGGGGCGGGUUCACAGGUGGUGCAUGGUUGUCGUCAGCUCGUGUCGUGAGAUGUUGGGUUAAGUCCCGCAACGAGCGCAACCCUCGUUCCAUGUUGCCAGCACGUCGUGGUGGGGACUCAUGGGAGACUGCCGGGGUCAACUCGGAGGAAGGUGAGGACGACGUCAAAUCAUCAUGCCCCUUAUGUCUUGGGCUUCACGCAUGCUACAAUGGCCGGUACAAUGGGUUGCGAUACUGUGAGGUGGAGCUAAUCCCAAAAAGCCGGUCUCAGUUCGGAUUGGGGUCUGCAACUCGACCCCAUGAAGUCGGAGUCGCUAGUAAUCGCAGAUCAGCAACGCUGCGGUGAAUACGUUCCCGGGCCUUGUACACACCGCCCGUCAAGUCACGAAAGUCGGUAACACCCGAAGCCGGUGGCCUAACCCUU